rnacentral:rRNA from 1 species
UAGGCGUCGACCGGCGCACGGGUGAGUAACGCGUAUCCAACCUGCCCGCCACUUGGGGAUAACCUUGCGAAAGUAAGACUAAUACCCAAUGAUAUCCCACGAAGGCAUCCGAAUGGGAUUAAAGAUUUAUCGGUGAUGGAUGGGGAUGCGUCUGAUUAGCUUGUUGGCGGGGUAACGGCCCACCAAGGCAACGAUCAGUAGGGGUUCUGAGAGGAAGGUCCCCCACAUUGGAACUGAGACACGGUCCAAACUCCUACGGGAGGCAGCAGUGAGGAAUAUUGGUCAAUGGGCGAGAGCCUGAACCAGCCAAGUAGCGUGCAGGAUGACGGCCCUAUGGGUUGUAAACUGCUUUUAUAAGGGAAUAAAGUGAGUCUCGUGAGACUUUUUGCAUGUACCUUAUGAAUAAGGACCGGCUAAUUCCGUG